GAUCUUUCCCCUUGUCAUCCCUCUUGAUGGAUUUACUAUUGUUCUUCCAUCAACAUAUCAAAUGAAAUGCGAAGUAAAUUGUCAAAAGCCAGACCAGCAACGAUUGCUGCUGCAACCCGUGUGGAAGGUGUCACUCCAGCUGCAAUUGUAACCUUGUUGAGAUAUGUGCAGCGCAGGCAGCUAGAGUAUGCCCAGAUAUUGUGAAUAACAGUCCGCUUAAUGAAAGUAAUUUUAUGUAUUUAUUAAUAAAAUUCAUUUUG